rnacentral:lncRNA from 1 species
AUUAGAGUGUAAGGCAGACGUUAAAGAUGGAGAAACCAACUUCUAAUGACAGCUUGGAGCAUCUGGAUCUAGUCCCAGACUUUUUAGUUAUGACAUUUUGGAGAACCUGGAGCCUUCUUUCAAAUGAUGGAUAACUGCAAGAAAAAAUCUACAUCCUGAAAGGGUUGAACCCAUCUUGAAAAUGGCAAAAUCUCCAUCCUGGUGAUCACUGGCACCAUCACUCCCAGUACAGCCAUCACUCUAUGGGAUCCUGGGCACUGCUUAGCACUAGGAAGGCGAAUGGCUUUAAAUUAUGAUUCCUGUCCUCAAGAGAUAAGUCACAUUGUUGAAAACCUGACAUCAACGUACAAAGAUUCAUAAUCAUAAAAGGUAACUCUUGGGGCCAUGGGUGCAGUGUCUGCCAUGCAGAGGAGAAGCCGCUGGUUGUAGCAGCAACACUCCAGCUUACCUGGAGCAAAGUGCAUAAAGGAAAGGCCAUGUGAGGACACAGCAAGAAGGCGGCCCUCUGCAACCUGACCAGCAAGAUCUCACCAGAAACCACCCCUGCUUGCACUGUGA